GAAACGGGACCGUUUCCCCUUUCCAGCUGCCGGGUUCCCUUUUCUUCGGAAGGCCCGAUGUCCAGGCCGAAAACGGGGAAGCGGCUGCGCCAACCGCGACGGGCCCUGCCCGGAGGCCUUUCCCCCUCUUGUCCCCCCCCCCGGAGCCGGCCCAGCGGGGCCCUCAGCAGCUGAAGGGCUUCACAUACCCUCGGAGGUGGGGAAACAGGAAGCUGGCUGGGCAUGGACCUGGGAACAGCCCGUGGUGCAGUUGUAAGGCUGGUGUCUGGCUCUCCCGGCAUCUCCCUCUGCAAAGGCAGGGGAAGGAAGAACCCUCUGGAGCUGCUGGCCCCGGUACCUGCAGCCCAGCUCCGACAGGGAGAGAGGAGAGCAGGAGUAGGGCAGUCGUGGGGCAGAGCUGACAACACCAAACCUUCAGAAAUUGUGACAUGGGCUUGAAAGGAAGUUCAGCUGUUUCUUCACUGUCUCCAGAUCCUCUUUUCAGCCUCCCUUCCCAGGUAGAAGAAGACAUCCUUUGCAAAAACCAGCUGAGGCUGGUGAGGGACAGUGUCAGCCCCGCAGCACAGGCUUGGAGGAGGAAAGAAGACAAAACAAAGCAGCAAGUGCUGCAGUUUGGCCAGUGUCACUUUGGGGGGAUAGUGAGUGCCUGGAGGCUGGGCUCAGGCUUCUAGGUUGGACAGCACAACCUUGACCUCUGAGGAGUCCAGACUAGAGGUGAACCCCACAACAAGAGCUCACCCCUUUGCUUCUCCUGCAGCACCCAUGCCUCCCAGCCCUGCCCUGGCUGUGCACACACAUCCUGCAUCAGCCUGUGUCACAGCAAAACACUGUGCUGCCCCACUCCAGCUCCAGCUCUGCUUUCUUCCAUGAGUCUCUCUCCCUGGGCCCAGGGCUGUCUGGUGGCUCAUGAUGAGUUCCUGCCCAGCACACGGUGUGCUGAGGCAUCAGGAAGCAGCAUGAAGCACCAGACCAGCAGCAAGGGAGCCCUUCAUAGGUUGGUUAUAAAACUCUCUGUCUUGAUUUUACUGCCUUUAGUAAAGCUUGGUAAAUAUUUCUGGGA